rnacentral:rRNA from 1 species
CCUACGGGUGGCUGCAGUGAGGAAUAUUGGUCAAUGGGCGCGAGCCUGAACCAGCCAAGUAGCGUGAAGGAUGACUGCCCUACGGGUUGUAAACUUCUUUUGUAAAGGAAUAAAGUGAGGCACGUGUGCCUUUUUGUAUGUACUUUAUGAAUAAGGCUCGGCUAACUCCGUGCCAGCAGCCGCGGUAAUCCGGAGGAUCCGGGCGUUUGCCGGAUUUAUUGGGUUUAAAGGGAGCGGAGAUGGGUGGAUAAGUCAGGUGUGAAAGUUUGCGGCUCAACCGUAAAAUUGCCAUUGAUACUGGCAGCCUUGAGUACAGUUGAGGUAGGCGGAAUUCGUGGUGUAGCGGUGAAAUGCUUAGAUAUCACGAAGAACUCCGAUUGCGAAGGCAGCUUACCAAACUGCAACUGACAUUGAUGCUCGAAAGUGUGGGUAUCAAACAGGAUUAGAUACCCUUGUAGUC